ensembl:lncRNA
GGAAGGACCACCGCAGCCGGCUGGCCAACCUCACUAGCUCGCCACGUGACAUGGGGUGUUUGCAAUACCCUCCAGGGUGCUGGGCAGCCGGCAGCGGAAAAGUUUGUUAGCAGUGCUGACUGGGAGGGUGAGGAGGUGGGACCGAGCUGUGCCAGAUGCCACCUCAGUGAAUAGCACAGAAAGAUCUCCGGUCUCGGGCUUGACGCCCGCAGGCCCAGGGUCCCCUGGGGUCCCCAGCCCUGGCGAAUGGCACACUCCUAUUGCUCCCCCACCCCCAGAAGACUACAGCUUUCUCAUCUUUGUCACCAACCCUUCCUCAGCUCUCCAGCUUGACUUUGCCACUUGCUUCCUAUGGAGCCCCUGACCGACACCAGGAAGUACCAUACAUUCACUUCUGUACGCUUAAGGGAGAAAGCAGAGUGGAAAUACGCAUUUGGAUUUACAGAAUCCUGGAGAGGGUGUGUUGAAGGUCAGUGACGGCAGGGGCGGGUGACUCAAUCCCCAUACAGCUGGAUGGCAAGCCACCUGCUUCGGUUGGUGGCGGAAUUGACUCAAUCCCGUCUAGGCCUUUCACCGAGGACGCUCCGGAUCCUGAGCGAGAGGAACUACAGCACUGCACCCCCUCUGCCGCAGCCAGCCCACUGAGGCAACGCAUGAGAGGCGGCUGGAAGUGACAGCAGACAACAUCGCAACGUGCUACCUGCUCGCAAAACAAGAAGACAGACCCAUUCGCCAGCCGCGGGAACGGCUGCUUUCCUUUGUCCUUUCUCUACGGCUCAGAGAUGGGUGAGCUCAGGAGAGAAACACAAGCAGUG